rnacentral:rRNA from 1 species
UACGUAGGCAGCAAGCGUUGUUCGGAGUUACUGGGCGUAAAGGGUGCGUAGGCGGCCCGUUAAGUCAGUGGUGAAAGCCUCCAGCUCAACUGGAGAACUGCCAUUGAUACUGACGGGCUUGAGUACAGACGAGGUUGGCGGAAUUGAUUGUGUAGCGGUGAAAUGCAUAGAUACAAUCAAGAACUCCGAUUGCGUAGGCAGCUAACUAGGCUGUAACUGACGCUGAGGCACGAAAGCGUGGGGAGCGAACAGG